rnacentral:rRNA from 1 species
GAGGAAUAUUGCUCAAUGGGCGAAAGCCUGAAGCAGCAACGCCGCGUGCGCGAUGAAGGUCUUCGGAUCGUAAAGCGCUUUUGAGAGGGACGAGAUAGGACGGUACCUCUUGAAUAAGUCACGGCUAACUACGUGCCAGCAGCCGCGGUAAAACGUAGGUGGCAAGCGUUAUCCGGAUUCACUGGGCGUAAAGCGCGUGCAGGUGGCUUCGUAAGUUGGACGUUAAAUCUUUCGGCCUAACCGGGAGGUGUCGUUCAAUACUGCGGGGCUUGAGGGUAGAAGAGGGGGGUGGAAUUGCCGGUGUAGUGGUGAAAUGCGUAGAUAUCGGCAGGAACACCUGUGGCGAAAGCGGCCCCCUGGUCUGCUCCUGACACUCAGACGCGAAAGCUAGGGGAGUGAGCG